AUUGAACGCUGGCGGCAUGCCUUACACAUGCAAGUCGAACGGCAGCACGGGGGCAACCCUGGUGGCGAGUGGCGAACGGGUGAGUAGAGCAUCGGAACGUGCCCUGGAAUGGGGGAUAACGUAGCGAAAGUUACGCUAAUACCGCAUAUUCUGUGAGCAGGAAAGCAGGGGAUCGCAAGACCUUGCGUUCUGGGAGCGGCCGAUGUCGGAUUAGCUAGUUGGUGGGGUAAAGGCCUACCAAGGCGACGAUCCGUAGCGGGUCUGAGAGGAUGAUCCGCCACACUGGGACUGAGACACGGCCCAGACUCCUACGGGAGGCAGCAGUGGGGAAUUUUGGACAAUGGGCGCAAGCCUGAUCCAGCCAUGCCGCGUGAGUGAAGAAGGCCUCGGUUGUAAGACGACUUAAGUACGAGGAGGAAGGUUUUAGUUUAAGUUA
rnacentral:rRNA from 1 species